GAUUGUUUAAGUUAAAUAAACUUUUUAUUUUGAAAAUAAAAUAUAAGAAUUAUUCUUAAUAAUCU
rnacentral:tRNA from 1 species